AGACGUCUACAUUAGACUACCCCCGUAGUCCCAGCCGUAAACUAUGCGCGUUAGGUGUAUCGGUGACCACGAGUUACCGAGGUGCCGAAGGGAAACCGUGAAACGUGCCGCCUGGAAGUACGGUCGCAAGGCUGAAACUUAAAGGAAUUGGCGGGGAGCACCACAACAGGUGGAGCCUGCGGUUUAAUUGGACUCAACGCCGGGAAGCUCACCGGAUAAGACAGCGGAAUGAUUGCCGGGCUGAAGACUCUGCAUGACUAGCUG
rnacentral:rRNA from 1 species